GACCGUGUAGCUCAGUUAGCAGAGCAUUGGGCUAGUAUUCCAAAGGUCGUAGGUUCGAAUCCCACCAUGGCCA